UCUGUGGGAGGAGCCUCUAGGAGGAAGUUGGCCAUGCCCCUUCCUGCCCCAGGCUGCUGUUGCUGGUGGUUGCUGUAAGCUUGGUCUCAGGAGCUUCUGGGGAGAAGAUAGCCAGGCCCCUUCCUGCCUUUGGCUACUGCUAGCAUAUUCUUAGAGCUUUUGGGGCUGAAGCACACCCUGAGUGGCUGAACUGGAUGGCUGCUACCACCACUGCUGCUGUUGCUGCUGUCUGUUCUGCUGCUGCCCCCUCUCAGGAGAGAGGCAGAUUUCCUGCUGUACCACCUUGCACCACUGAACACCACCUCUGCACUGGAUUACUCCCUAAUUGACUGAUUUACUCCUGCACUCCCCACAGCUGCCCUGCUGCAUUUGAUCCUGCUUUGUUUUCAUGCCUACUGCUCUGCUGCUGAGUGCCUAGCUGGAGGCCUGAGGGGCUCCUGGACUGAUUCAACAAACAAAGCCCUUCCACCACUCCAGGCAUCUUUUACAUUUGCCUCAGCAGCCUUCCCUGUGUGUUUUUGCCCUUGCGUGGCAAGUCCUGCGGUCCACUCCCCCUGCCCUGGUGUUUGUUGUGUGGCUGAAUAAGCCAAUUUAAGUCUCCCCAGCCCUUGUGUGUGGUUUUCCCCCUCCCCCACAUUCUCCAAGCAUAGACCUCCCAUUUUUUUUUCCCUGUGGGGCUGUAGCUCAUUGAGCUUCAGUACCCUUCCCUCUCCAUUUCCCCCACAGCCCCAGUGCCCCUAUUAGAUUCACCAGCCUCACUGUAUGUUUUGGUUUUCCUUAUUGUUUUCACCCUCAUGUGAUGCAAUGGCAGGGCAGGAACCUUUUUUGGGGGACAGAUGCCCCCAUAGAGCUUCCUGCAGCUCCCACUAUGGGGGCAGAUCCCAGCUGAGGCCCCCAAGGAGAUGCAUGCCCCUGCAGCUCCCACCCCAGAGGCAGAGUCCAACCAACCUCCUCUGGGGGUAGAGAAGCCUGCAACCUCCACUGCAGGGACAGGCAGGACACCAGCAAGGAGCCAACAGGGCCAGGAGGUCUCCCCUGGACACCCCCCCACCCCCUCCAAAGGGGUUCCCAAGCCCCCUCCCCUACCAUCAGGGACUUAGGGCAAGGGCAAUGGGAAGGGCUCCUUUUCAGCCUCCUCCACAGCUGGGGGUGGAAAGGGCAAGGACCCUGUCCCCAAGCCUAGACCACUCGUUCCUGAGGGGACCAGGUGUGCUACACCAGCCAGCACACCCACUCAACCUGUCCCUGUCCCUGUCCCUAGCCCCGGCCCCACCAACACAGCCAAUGCACAGGCGGCUGCAGGGUGACCCAAAGCCACAGGGCUUGGACCCUUCACCACCAGGUGGUGUGGCCCCUUUUCUGGCACUCACCCGCAGGCACAUGGUGAAGUGCCAACUGCACAAGCAGAAGAACCUGCACUUUGAGACUUAGGUACAGGCCCUGGCUUGGGCAGUGGGGGCCUCCAAGAUCAUGGCAGCCUUCUGCUUUCUUGGCAAGGGAGUCUUUUUCCUUUUCUUGGAGGCUGCCACACAAAACGUGGUGGAGAGGGGGCUCAUGAUGGAGGGUGAGUAUAUCCCCCUUGGUCCCCUAGAACAGUGCUUCUCAAACUAUCUGAUGUGGUGGAUCAGCAAUUUUUUUUCCAGUGGGCCAGGGACUGGUACCCAGUUCAGCUGGUGGCAGCAACUGUGUGUAACAGUGCUACACAAAUGUGCAUCCGGCUGUUUCUUUCUCUUUCCUCACCUUGCACAAUGUGACGUCACCUGGAGUGUUGGAACGUAUGAACUGUGGUGCUAUGACAUAUCAAUGUUAUGCUUCUGAAAAUAUAUUUCUUUCUUUCCUGGCAA